rnacentral:tRNA from 1 species
GGCAAUGUGGCUCAGUGGCUAGAGCACUGGCCUGUAACUCAGGAGUUCUGGGUUCUAGUCCUACCUCUGCCA